AGGUGAAGAGCUUCUUUCAAACUCAUUCCCCUACAAGGAACUAUUGAAUGGGUUCCUAUGAGAAGUUGAAGAAAAGUUAUGGAUAAUGAAAACAACGCUCCUUCGUUAUUAAAGUCGAUUGAGGACUAUGAUCCUAUAUUUUUCGAAUUGUUCGUCGACCAAAAACAGGUGUUUAUUUUGGAUGGUCCGGAGUUUUUGGCUGCAACUAUGUUGGACAGAGAUAUGCUUGUUAUUGCUGUAAAUUGG